GACGAACGCUGGCGGCGUGCUUAACACAUGCAAGUCGAGCGGAAGGGCCACUUCGGUGGUACUCGAGCGGCGAACGGGUGAGUAACACGGGAGUAAUCUGCCCUCUCAUUCGGGAUAGCCACCGGAAACGGUGAUUAAUACCGGAUAUGACACGUGGUCGCAGGGUCGGGUGUGGAAAGUUUUUUCGGUGGGGGAUGUGCGCGCGGCCUAUCAGCUUGAUGGUGAGGUUAUGGCUCACCAUGGCUACGACGGGUAACCGGCCUGAGAGGGUGAGCGGUCACACUGGGACGGAGACACGGCCCAGACUCCUACGGGAGGCAGCAGUGGGGAAUAUUGGACAAUGGGCGGAAGCCUGAUCCAGCAACGCCGCGUGAGGGAUGACGGCCUUCGGGUUGUAAACCUCUUUCGGUAGGGACGAAGCGCAAGUGACGGUACCUACUAAAGAAGCACCGGCCAACUACGUGCCAGCCGCCGCCGUAACAC
rnacentral:rRNA from 1 species